CCUACGGGAGGCAGCAGUGGGGAAUAUUGCACAAUGGGGGAAACCCUGAUGCAGCCAUGCCGCGUGUGUGAAGAAGGCCUUCGGGUUGUAAAGCACUUUCAGUAGGGAGGAAAGGUAGCCGCUUAAUACGCUGUUGCUGUGACGUUACCUACAGAAGAAGGACCGGCUAACUCCGUGCCAGCAGCCGCGGUAAU
rnacentral:rRNA from 1 species